UGGUAUAUGGUUCAGUGGUAGAAUUCUUGCCUUCCAUGUAGGAGACCUGAGUUUGAGUCCCAGGUUUAAUUCCUGGCCAA
rnacentral:tRNA from 1 species